rfam:Scleropages formosus scaffold4900, whole genome shotgun sequence.
GUAGUCGUGGCCGAGUGGUUAAGGUAAUGGACUUGAAAUCCAUUGGGGUCUCCCCUAUGCAGGUUCGAGUCCUGCCGACUACG